rnacentral:rRNA from 1 species
UACAGAGGGGGCGAGCGUUGUUCGGAAUUACUGGGCGUAAAGGGCGCGUAGGCGGCCAACUAAGUCAGACGUGAAAUCCCUCGGCUCGACCGGGGAACUGCGUCUGAUACUGGAUGGCUUGAAUUCGGGAGAGGGAUGCGGAAUUCCAGGUGUAGCGGUGAAAUGCGUAGAUAUCUGGAGGAACACCGGUGGCGAAGGCGGCAUCCUGGACCGAGAUUGACGCUGAUGCGCGAAAGCCAGGGGAGCAAACGGG